UAGGGAAUCUUCGGCAAUGGGGGCAACCCUGACCGAGCAACGCCGCGUGAGUGAAGAAGGUUUUCGGAUCGUAAAGCUCUGUUGUAAGAGAAGAACGUGUGUGAGAGUGGAAAGUUCACACAGUGACGGUAACUUACCAGAAAGGGACGGCUAACUACGUGCCAGCAGCCGCGGUAAUACGUAGGUCCCGAGCGUUGUCCGGAUUUAUUGGGCGUAAAGCGAGCGCAGGCGGUUUAAUAAGUCUGAAGUUAAAGGCAGUGGCUUAACCAUUGUUCGCUUUGGAAACUGUUAAACUUGAGUGCAGAAGGGGAGAGUGGAAUUCCAUGUGUAGCGGUGAAAUGCGUAGAUAUAUGGAGGAACACCGGUGGCGAAAUCGGCUCUCUGGUCUGUAACUGACGCUGAGGCUCGAAAGCGUGGGGAGCAAACAGG
rnacentral:rRNA from 1 species